rnacentral:tRNA from 3 species
GAGAACCUAGUAAACACCAUUACGUGGCCUUGUCAUAGCCAAAUCACAGCCUCUGUGGUCCUCA